CUGCUUCCCGACCUGCUUGAGUUCCAGUCCUGAUUUCCUUGGAUGAUGAACAGCUGUGUGGAAGUCUGGAUCCCGUUCCAUUCCUCAGCCGUGAAUAAGGUGGCCUAGAGGCCCUGGCAGUCGUCUCAGGUUGGUUGCUCCCAGGCACCCUGCACUGGAAGCCCUACUCACUGACAGGACCCUGACUCUCAGGAUAGCACACAGGUUUUCCACUGUGGGAGCAGA